rnacentral:rRNA from 1 species
UACGAAGGGUGCAAGCGUUAAUCGGAAUUACUGGGCGUAAAGCGCGCGUAGGUGGUUCAGUAAGUUGGAAGUGAAAUCCCCGGGCUCAACCUGGGAACUGCUUUCAAAACUGCUGAGCUAGAGUACGGUAGAGGGUGGUGGAAUUUCCUGUGUAGCGGUGAAAUGCGUAGAUAUAGGAAGGAACACCAGUGGCGAAGGCGACCACCUGGACUGAUACUGACACUGGGGUGCGAAAGCGUGGGGAGCAAACAGG